UGCCAAGUCGAACGGAACGACAGGAGCUUGCUCCUGGGCGUCGAGUGGCGGACGGGUGAGUAAUGCAUAGGAAUCUGCCCAUGUAGUGGGGGACAACCUGGGGAAACUCAGGCUAAUACCGCAUGAGCCCUUCGGGGGAAAGCAGGGGAUCUUCGGACCUUGCGCUAUUGGAUGAGCCUAUGCCUGAUUAGCUUGUUGGUGGGGUAACGGCCUACCAAGGCGACGAUCAGUAGCUGGUCUGAGAGGACGAUCAGCCACACUGGGACUGAGACACGGCCCAGACUCCUACGGGAGGCAGCAGUGGGGAAUAUUGGACAAUGGGCGCAAGCCUGAUCCAGCAGCCGCGGUAAUAC
rnacentral:rRNA from 1 species